UUCCGUAGGUGAACCUGCGGAGGGAUC
rnacentral:rRNA from 1 species